GAAGGAGGAGCUUGCUCCUCUGGAUUAGUGGCGAACGGGUGAGUAACACGUGAGCAAUCUGCCCUUGACUCUGGGAUAAGCGCUGGAAACGGCGUCUAAUACCGGAUACGACCCUCGGAGGCAUCUCCUGUGGGUGGAAAGAACUUCGGUCAAGGAUGAGCUCGCGGCCUAUCAGCUUGUUGGUGAGGUAAUGGCUCACCAAGGCGACGACGGGUAGCCGGCCUGAGAGGGUGACCGGCCACACUGGGACUGAGACACGGCCCAGACUCCUACGGGAGGCAGCAGUGGGGAAUAUUGCACAAUGGGCGCAAGCCUGAUGCAGCAACGCCGCGUGAGGGACGACGGCCUUCGGGUUGUAAACCUCUUUUAGCAGGGAAGAAGCGAGAGUGACGGUACCUGCAGAAAAAGCACCGGCUAACUACGUGCCAGCAGCCGCGGUAAUACGUAGGGUGCAAGCGUUGUCCGGAAUUAUUGGGCGUAAAGAGCUCGUAGGCGGUCUGUCGCGUCUGCUGUGAAAACCCGAGGCUCAACCUCGGGCUUGCAGUGGGUACGGGCAGACUAGAGUGCGGUAGGGGAGAUUGGAAUUCCUGGUGUAGCGGUGGAAUGCGCAGAUAUCAGGAGGAACACCGAUGGCGAAGGCAGAUCUCUGGGCCGUAACUGACGCUGAGGAGCG
rnacentral:rRNA from 1 species